rfam:Myotis lucifugus cont2.10489, whole genome shotgun sequence.
GAGACACCUUUAUGAAGCAGGACUUUCUUCAGUGGGGCUUUGGUGCUCACUGAGUCUGCCCCUUGAGUGUGUUGCU